rnacentral:rRNA from 1 species
CCCAGGUCAGGCGGGACUACCCGCUGAGUUUAAGCUACAAACGCCGGGAAGGAAAAAAAAAAUUCCGGGGAACUC